rnacentral:misc_RNA from 1 species
GAUGAAGAACGCAGCGAAGUGCGAUAAGUAAUGUGAAUUGCAGAAUUCAGUGAAUCAUCGAAUCUUUGAACGCACAUUGCGCCCGCUAGUAUUCUGGCGGGCAUGCCUGUUCGAGCGUCAUUUCAACCAUCAAGCCCUGUUUAGGCUUGUGUUGGGGCCCUGCGGCUGCCGCAGCCCCCUAAAUGCAGUGGCGGGCUCGUUGUCACUCCGAGCGCAGUAGCGUAUCUCGCUCUGGGCGUGGCGGCGGGUGCUAGCCGUGAAACACCCACUAAGGUUGACCUCGGAUCAGGUAGGAAUACCCGCUGAACUUAAGCAUAUCAAUAAGCGGAGGA